GAUGAACGCUGGCGGCGUGCUUAACACAUGCAAGUCGAACGAUGAACCGGGUGCUUGCACUCGGGGAUUAGUGGCGAACGGGUGAGUAACACGUGAGCAACCUGCCCCUGACUCUGGGAUAAGCGCUGGAAACGGCGUCUAAUACUGGAUAUGUCCCGUCACCGCAUGGUGUGCGGGUGGAAAGAUUUUUCGGUUGGGGAUGGGCUCGCGGCCUAUCAGCUUGUUGGUGAGGUAAUGGCUCACCAAGGCGUCGACGGGUAGCCGGCCUGAGAGGGUGACCGGUCACACUGGGACUGAGACACGGCCCAGACUCCUACGGGAGGCAGCAGUGGGGAAUAUUGCACAAUGGGCGCAAGCCUGAUGCAGCAACGCCGCGUGAGGGAUGAAGGCCUUCGGGUUGUAAACCUCUUUUAGCAGGGAAGAAGCGAAAGUGACGGUACCUGCAGAAAAAGCACCGGCUAACUACGUGCCAGCAGCCGCCGUAA
rnacentral:rRNA from 1 species